rnacentral:lncRNA from 1 species
GAAAGAUGAAGACUUUAUAUUCAGAAAGUACAAAAAAAUUUCAUCAAAGUUUUAAUUCUAACUUAUAGCAAAUCUGGGUGUGCAAAAAUUGGAGCAUAUUUCAAAUAUAUAAGAACUUAGAGGAAAUAUUUAAUAUGUUGAGAAUAUUUUUUUCCUUUCAAUUUUCUAUUUCUGAUCAUCGUCUCCGGACCUUCGUCGCCGGUCAACCACCGGUGCGUCUUCUCAUCUUUUUCGGUGCCCCUGCUCAACCCUAGAUCUCCAUCGCCGACAGAAAUUCGAAGGCACUAUUGAAAAUUAGCAUCUGCCGCUCAUUGCCGCCAGAGUUUAAGUCGCCGACAUUCUUUCCGGCGAAUCUGACAUAUUUCUCCCGCGAACCCUAUCUUUCCUGUGGCUUUCUCCCUUGUUUUUGUUUUGCUUUCCCCUUUCUUGCAGGUGCUACCAGCGCAAGAGUCUUUGGUAUUUCUGAUUUCCUCUACACACCAGCAGUCAGACCGACGUGAGGUGUCUCAGGCAAUAAGAUUCUAAUGACCAAUUAACUCUAACUUGCCAGAAUCCAACAAACCACCCAAGAAAUCUCCCUACCUCCACUUCAUUUUCUCACUGAAAAGAAUAGGUGCACUCUCUCCCUCUCAUCUAGCUAUGUUUGUUUUGAUUUCUUAUUUGUUGGUGGCUUAGACUUUUGGUUUGUUUAUGUCUUUUUGCUAGUCCGAUUCUCGACUCGCUUGUUCAAUGUUUCUUGCCUAUUUAUGUUAUUUUAUUCUUGAUUACUUUCCUGUGGGUAGUAUACUUCUUGGUAUUGUUUUUUUGUUUAUCAAAACUUGCGACAUAGGAUAUUGGUUUUCUUGUGGCAUACGCUGUUGGUAUUAAUUUCUUGUAGAUUUAUUGCUUUUGGCGUACAUUGUUAUAUCUUGGUUCACUUGGUAUUGCCGUUGUGUAAUACCCCUCACUAUUCUUAGUUCGAUUCAGCAUGCAUAAGGGGCUUAAGGCUCGAAAAACAAUAAGGUCCUAUUUGGUCAUGAAAUUUAUUUUUUUUUUUUCGAAAAUUUUUUUCAGAGUUGAAAAUUGUGGUGUUUGGCCAUGAAAAUUCGAAAAAUAAUUUCGAAAUUUUUUUCUGAAAAGGGAAAACAGGUUUUUGUUGUUUUCACAAUUUUUCAACUCCAAUUUCAACUUUUAUUAUUAUUACAUAUAACCCCAAUCUUUUAAAUUUUUACAUAAAAUUCUCCUUGUAACAUUACUUUUUCAAUAUUACGUAUAUAGCAGUUUUAAAGAAUAAGAUAAUUAUAAUUUCAAACUUAAUGCUAUCCUAAUUAAUAUAUAUCUCUUUUUCUCUCUCAUCAUUAUUUUUAUCCCUUAUUUAUUUUCUCCCUUAUUUCAAACAUUAUUUUACUGUUAAUUUAUAUUUAUACCGAUAAAUAUAUAAAGUAUUAUAUUUAUAAUAGAAAUAUACAAAGUAUGUUAUAUAUAAAGUUUAUACCAUGUAUAUAUCAUAUACACACAUAUAUGAAUAUACAAAGUAUUAAGAAACAUACGAAGCAUAUUUAUAAUAUAAAUAUACAAAGUAUGUUAUAUAUGAAGUUUAUACCAUGUAUAUAUCAUAUACGCACAUAUAUAAAAAUACAAAGUAUAAAGAAAUAGUAUAAAGAAGCAUACUAAGCAUAUUUAUAUAUUUAUGGUAUAUGAUAUAAUACCAUAAAUAUGCAAAACAUAUUUUACAUAGAAAUAAUUUAUUCACAUACAGUAAAAUCUUUCAUGUAUGAGAAAAUUAAAGAAAUAAAUUAGCGGCACCCUAAAAUUUAAUAACAACUCAUCAUUUCCUAUUUUUUAGGAACGAAAAAUGAAAGAAAUAAAUUAAAGAAAUUCAUAAAAAAAAUAAAUUUAUUUGAAAGAUAAUAUUUGUUACCUAAAAAAUAGGAAACAGUGGUCUGUUAAUAUAACAUCCAUAUUUAAAAUUUUUAAAUACGAGAAAACGGCUAUUAAUGUAAAUAUUAUAUAUAUGUCAUAAUUAAAAUUCAUUAAAUAUGGCCAUGUAUAUGUAAUUAUUUUUAUAAUAGUGGCUAAUUGUGUUCAUUUUCCAUUAGUAGGUAAAUUUUAGUUAGGUGAUUUUGAUAGUUUGUAAAAGUUAGGGCAUAAAAUCAUAUUUAAUUUUUUUUUUCAAAAGUCAAAAAGAAAUUUCGAAAAAGACAUGGUCAAACACAACUUCAACUCCAAUUUCAACUCCAAUUUCAACUCCGAAAAAUUUUAGUUUUCAUGACCAAACGGUUACUAAGUAUUGGGGACUUAGUCAUUUUCAAAAUCCCUAAACUUUGAGGAUUUUUAAUUUGGUCUUCCCGACUCUGAGACUUUAGUUUUUGAGUUAAGUCAUGUUCAGGGAUGUAAGAAGUAUGUCUCGGAGAAGUUUUGAAUUUUUCGGACAAGGUUUGGGGCAUGUUUAGAUCACGAAACCAGUGGGUUACCACGAUAAACCCGCGAUGCGGCAUUAGUCCCGAACUCAUGUUUACUGUGUCGUGGUAAGGGAAUUCAACGAUCGUGUUAGACCGCAUCACAGUGACGUUGUUGUGUCCAGUUUUUUAUUUAAAUUGUUGAGGGACAAUUGUGUCGUUUCUCCCUCAACCCAAAUCGUCCAUAACAUGAAUUGGGACAUCAUUUAGGGCAUUAUUUGCUCUUCUUCUCCAAAUCCCUCUCAAGGAAAACCUCACCUCCCCUAAGAACAAGAACAAAAAUUCAAUUCCUUUCUCCCCAAGAAAUCAAUAAUUCCAGUUCCCCAAGUUCAAGAACCUUCAAGAAAGCAUCAAGAUUAGUGUUUUUAUUUCAAGUUAAGAAGCUUAAGGUAUGUGGGGUGUUCAUCCAUAGGUCCCUUUCAUCUAUGGAGCCCAAAAACCCUCUUUUAAAUUAAAGAACCAUUUUCCAUCAUUAAUGUAUUUUAUAUUGCUUAAGAUGGGUUUAAUUUAUGUUUUCAUAGUAAUUUAAAUACAACUCAGUCCAUGUAUGAUCCCAUGCAAGAUUUGAAUUCCUCAUGCUAUGAAUUUCAGCUUUCCAUGUCUUAGCCAAGUGAACUUCAUGUUGUUGAAUUCUUAUGUUUAAAAUAGCCCCAUGUACAAGUCCAUGCUUUCCACAUGUUUGAUGAAAUGCCCAUGUUUUGAGUUGAACCAUGAUUCAAUAUUACAGUUUAUGUCAUGUUUUAAUCGUCACUCAGUGCUGGUGGGAUAUGAAUAGCCGAUACCUAUGUGUUCUACAUGAUUUUCAGAUUUUCAAGUUUAAUUCAGUUAAGCCAUGAAUAUCCUUACUUACUCAGUUAUUAUUUACUAUUCUUAAGAUGAGCACUAUCAGAAAUAAUAUUCAGUUAAACUUAAUUCAGUUCAGUACUGAUGUCAGUUUAGUUAGGAGUAGGAGUUAUCACCGACCAAAUCUAGGAAUGGGGGCUGACCCGCCAAUUAGGACUGGGUCCUUAGUAGUAGUCCCUAAGUUUUAGAACUACAUAGCCAGCGUAGGAUUAUGAGAUGUCACCCGCUAGUUUAGGACUGACACUCUCAAAGGGGUCACCCGCCAGUUAGGACUACUCCCUAGUCCCACGGGACAUCAACCUUGUGGAAUCCACAUCGUCAUCUAGUGUUAGUACCCGUGGCAUGGUACUGACACCCUUUCAACUGGGGUUACAAGUUGGACCCCAAUUAGCUCAAAUUGGGGCAUGUCGGUUAUAUGAUACCUCUCACAAUCUUAGUAUAAUAUUCAGUGUAUAUUCAGUUCAGGUUUGCUUGACCAAAGCAUACAGAUUUACAGUUAUUCAGCUAUACAAAUUUCAGUUUUUCAUUUUAUAGAUUAUUUCAAAAUUAUGUAUAUGCUUGGUCUUGCAUUAUUAGAUAUUACAGUUUUCAUGCAUUCAUGCGCAGUUAGUUCAAGCUGUUCAGUUAGUCCUUAUCUCAUGUGCACAGUACCCCAUACAUUUCAGCCAGACCUCAUCUCAUAUACCAGUACAUUCAAAGUACUGAUUGCAUACUUUUCUUUGUUGUAUGUUGUCUUAUAACAUAGGUUGCAUAUCAGUUGCAGGAUGUAGCUCACACUUGGUUUAAGCAGUAGAAGGAGGACCGUGGUGUUGAUGUUGGGCUUGUUGAGUGGGAGGAAUUUUCUAAGACUUUUCUAGACAAGUUCUUCUCAUUAGAUUUGAGGGAGGCUAAGAUUCAGAAGUUCAUUAAUUUAAAGCAAGGCAGUAUGAGUGUGAAGGAGUACUCAUUUAAGUUUACUCAGUUGGCAAGGUAUGCUCCUACUAUGGUUGCAGACAACAGGUUUAGAAUGAGUAAGUUCAUGUCUAGUGUAGAUAAUAGUAUGGUUAUGGAGUGUAGUACUGCCAUGUUAAUUAAGGAGAUGGACUUAUCUAGACUUAUGGUUCAUGCUCAGCAGAUUGAGGAAGAGAAGCUUAAGGAGAAAGAGAGAGAAUAAGAGGGACAAAACGGGUAGUUUUAACUUUUCUCAGCCAAGGUCGGAAGGUGGUGACCAUUCUCAGUUUCGUUAGAAUUUUUCAGCUCCAGCUCCAUCUUCAGUCGGUGCGCCAAUGCCUAAGUUUAGGCAAGACGUCGGGAUAGGGUGCCAGGAUCUAAGUCCUAGGGUAGUGUAAACAGUGGUCACACUAAUUUGCUUUAGGGAAUUGAAAGAACAGUUGAAGGAUCUCUUAGAUGAGGGAUUCAUCAGGCCUAGUAUUUCCCAAUGGGGUGCUCUAGUCUUGUUCGUGCGUAAGAAAGACGGUUCUCUCAGAAUGUGCAUCGAUUACCGUCGGUUGAACAAAGUCACAAUCAAGAGUAAGUAUCCACUCCCCAGGAUUGAUGACUUGUUUGACCAACUUUAGGGUGCCAAUUAUUUCUCUAAGAUAGACCUCAGAUCCGGCUAUCAUCAACUCAGAGUCAGAGAAUGUGACAUUCCGAAGACAACUUUUAGAACUCGGUAUGGUCACUUUGAAUUUCUAGUUAUGUCUUUUGGACUAACGAAUACCCCUCCAUCUUUCAUGGGCUUGAUGAACAGAGUGUUCAAGCAGUACUUAGACAUGUUCAUUAUAAUUUUCAUUGGUGAUAUUCUUAUCUAUUCCCGUAGUAAAAAUGAUCAUGCAAGCCAUCUGAGAAUUGUAUUACAAACCCUUAAAACUCAUUAGUUGUUCGUCAAGUUCAGUAAGUGUGAGUUUGGCUAAGAUCAAUAGCUUUUCUUGGCCAUAUUAUUUUCGGUGAUGGCAUUCGAGUUGACUCUUAAAAGACCGAAGCAGUGAGAAACUUGCCCAGAUCCAUCUCUCCAUCAAAUAUUAGGAGUUUCUUAGGUUUGGCUGGCUAUUACAGACGGUUUGUUGAAGGUUUUUCUUCUAUUGCAUCCCCCAUGUCUCUAUUGACUUGAAAAAAGAUCAAAUUUCAGUGGUCAGAUUCUUGCGAGAAAGUUUUCAACAGUUAAAGACUCGACUCACUUCAGCGCCAGUAUUGACAUUGCCAGAUGGUUCAAAUGGGUUUGUAGUUUAUUGUGAUGCUUCCAAAGUUGGUCUUGGUUGUGUAUUGAUGCAGAGAGGUAAGGUCAUAGCAUAUGUCUCUAGACAGCUUAAACCCCAUGAGAAGAAUUAUCCUACCCAUGAUCUUGAGUUGACAAUUGUUGUUUUAUCCUUGAAAAUUUGGAGGCAUUAUCUUUAUGGAGUGCAUGUUGAUAUGUUAACGGACCACAAAAGUUUACAGUAUGUGUUCUCACAGAAAGAUUUGAAUCUUCGUCAGAGAAGGUGGCUUGAGUUGUUAAAAGAAUAUGAGACGAGUGUUUUAUAUCAUCCAAGCAAGGACAAUGUAGUGACAGAUGCCCUUAAUAGAUUGUCUAUAAGUAGUGUUGCUCAUGUUGAGGAUGAUAGGAAGAAGUUAGUUCAUGAGGUUCAUCAUCUUUCUAGAUUGGUUGUUCGGUUGGUUGAUUCAACUAAAGGCAGUGUAUGGGUUCAAAAUGGUUUGGAAUCUUCAUUGGCUGCUGAAGUAAAGGAAAAGCAAGUAGGGAUCCCAGUCUGGUUAAGUUGAAGGAAUCAGUCAGAGAUCAGAAAGUAGAGGUUAUCUCCCAAGGAGGAGAUAGUGUGUUUUGCUGACAGGGUGUGUUUCGUGUGUUGAUGAUUUGAGGCAACGAAUUUUGGCAAAAGCGUAUGGUGUGUGAUUUCCCUUCAUCUAGGAGCCACUAGAUGUACCGUGACUUGCGGGAAAUCUAUUAGUGGAAUGGUUUGAAGAAGGAUAUUGCAGAGUUUGUAGCUAAGUUUUCAAAUUGUUAGUAGGUUAAAGUUGAGCACCAAAGGUCUAGUAGUACAUUGCAGGAGUUCAACAUCCCCACUUGGAAGUGGGAAGUGGUGAACAUAGAUUUUGUGAUGGGUUUGCCUUGUACGUGUCAUCAACAUGAUUCGAUAUGGUCAUUGUAGAUAGAAUGACUAAAUCAGCUCAUUUCUUGCCAGUUCAUACUUCGUACUCAGCUGAGGAUUAUGCUAGGCUUUAUAUUAGAGAGUUAGUUAAGUUGCAUGGAGUUCCAUUGUCUAUCAUUUUAGAUAGAGGUACUUUGUUUAUCUCUCACUUUUAGAAGGCUUUUUAGAAGGGUCUUGGUACCCAACUUCAUCUAAGUACAACUUUUCAUCCUCAGACAGAUGGUUAGGCAUAGACGACCAUUCAGACCUUAGAAGACAUGUUGAGAACAUGUGUUAUUUAUUUUAAAGUUAGUUGGGAUGACCACUUACUGUUGAUUGAGUUUGCCUACAAUAACAACUAUCACUCUAGUAUUCAGAUGGCUCCAUUUGAGGCUCUCUAUGAGAGGAGAUAUAGAUCUCCUAUUGGUUGGUUUGAAGCAGGUGAGGCUACUUUGAUAGGGCCAGAUUUAGUUUUUGAUGCGAUGGAGAAAGUUCAGUUGAUUAGGGAGAGGCUUAAGACAACCUAAAGCCGUCAGAAAUCUUAUGCAGGUGUGAGAAGAAGAGACCUUGAGUUUGAUGUUCGUGAUUUAGUCUAUUUGAAAAUCUCGCCCAUGAAGGGAGUGAAGAGAUUUGGUAAGAAAGGGAAACUCAGUCCCCGAUAUAUUGGCCCUUAUAGAAUCUUGAACCAUUUUAGGAAGGUAGCUGAUGAGCUAAAGUUGCCGGCAGAUUUGACAUUAGCCUAUCCGGUGUUUCAUGUUUCUUUGUUAAAGAAAUGUAUUGGUGAUUCAGCUGUUGUUAUUCCUUUAGAAAGUACAAGUGUUCAGGAUAGCCUUUCUUUCAAAGAAGUUCCAAUUGAGAUUCUAGAUCGUCAGAUUCGUAGACUAAGGAACAAAAAAGUUCCCUUGGUUAAAAUUCUAUGGCAAAAUCAGUCCGUUGAGGGAGCUACUUGGGAAAUAGAAGUAGAUAUGCGUACUAAGUACCCUCAUCUUUUCUCCGCAAACUCAGACUUGACUUAAGGUAGCAGUUUUCCUUAAAUUGACUCUUUUCUACUCUCAGUCCUAGCUAUAUAACUAUUCCCAUGCAUUAUUGCAUGCAUUCAUAAAAUCAAUUCAGUUCAUGUAUCAUGUUUCAGACUCAGUUAUGAAAUCAUGUUCCAAAUCAUGCAUGUUUCGUAUAUGAUAUCAAUUGCCUUAGUUCAGUACUCUUAGUCUAAUCAGUCUGAUUCGAGGACGAAUGUUCCCAAGAGGGAGAUAUUGUAAUACCCCGUACUAUUCUUAGUUCGAUUCAGCUCUUAGUUGGAUGCAUAAGGGGCUUAAGGCCUAAAAAUUUUACUAAGUGUUGAGGACUUAGUCAUUUUCAAGAUCCCUAAACUUUGAGGAUAUUUAAUUUGGCCUUCCUGAUCCGAGAUGUUGGUUUUUCAAUUAAGUCAUGUUCAGGGAUUUAAGAAGUAUGUCUCGAAGAAGUUUUGGAUUAUUCAGAAAAGGUUUGAGGCAUGUUUGGAUCACGAAACUAGUGGGUUACCGCGAUAAACCAGUGACGCGACAUUAGUCCUGAACUCAUGUUUAUCGCAUUGCGGUGAGGGAAUUCAAUGACCGCGAUUAGACCAUAUCGUGGUGACCUUAUUGCACCCAGAUUUUUAUUUAAAUGGUUGAGAGGCAAUUGUGUCUUUUACCCCUUAACCUAAAUCGUCCAUAACACGAAUUGGGACAUCAUUUAGGGCAUUAUUUGCCUUUCUUCUCCAAAUCCCUAUCAAGGAAACCCUCACCUUCCCCCUAGAACAAGAACAAGAACAAGAAUUCAAUUCCUUUCUCCCCAAGAAAUCAAUAAUUCCAGUUUCCUAAUAUCAAGAACCUUCAAAAAAGCAUCAAGAUUAGUGUUUCCCUUUCAAGUUAAGAAGCUUAAGGUAUGUGGGGUGUUCAUCCAUGGGUCCCUUUCACCCAUGGAGCCCAAAAACCCUCUCUUAAAUUAAAGAACGGAUUUUUCUAUCAUUAAUGUAUUUUAUAUUGCUUAAGAUAGGUUUAAUUCAUGCUUUCAUGGUAAUUUAAAUGCAACCCAGUCCAUGUAUGAUCCCAUGCAAGAUUUGAAUUCCUCAUGCUAUGAAUUUUAGUUUCCCAUGUCUUAGCCAAGUGAACUUCAUAUUGUUGAAUUCUCAUGUUUAAAAUACCCCCAUGUACAAGUCCAUGCCUUCCACAUGUUUGAUGAAAUGCCCAUGUUUUGAGUUGAACCAUAAUUCAAUUUUACAGUUUAAGUUUAAACGCCAUGUUUUAAUUGUCACUCAGUGCUGGUGGGUUAUGAAUACUCAAUACCUACGUGUUCUACAUGAUUUUUAGAUUUUCAAGUAUGAUUCAGUUAAACCAUGAAUAUCCUUCCUUACUAAGUUAUUAUGCUUAAGAUGUGCACUAUCAGAAAUAAUAUUAAGUUAAACUUAAUUUAGUUCAGUUGCGAGUAGGAUUUAGCACCGAGCGAACCUAGGGAUGGGGGCACACCCUCCAGUUAGGACUGAGUCCUUAGUAGCAGUCCUUAAGUUCCAGAACUACGUAAUCAGGGUAGGAUUAUGAAAUGUAACUCACUAAUUUAGAAUUGACACUCUCUUAGGGGUCACCCGUCAGUUAGAACUGACUCCCUAGUCCUACGGGACGUUAGCCUUAUGGAAUCCACAUCGUCAGCUAGUGUUAGUACCCGUGGUAUGGUACUGACACCCUUUUAACUAGGGUUAUAUGUUGGACACCAAUUAGCUCAGAUUGGGGCAUGUCAGUUAUAUGAUACCUCCCACAGUCUCAAUACAGUAUUCAGUGUAUAUUCAGUUCAGGUUUGCUUGACCAAAGCAUACAGAUUUACAGUUAUUCAGCUAUACAAAUUUCAGUCUUUCAGUUUAUAGAUUGUUUCAGAAAUAUGUUUAUGCUUGGUCUUGCAUUCUCAGAUAUUACAGUUUUCAUGUAUUCAUGUUCAGUUAUUUCAUGUUGUUCAGUUAAUCCUUAUAUCAUGUUCAUAGUACCCCAUGCAUUUCAGCCAGACCUCAUCUCAUAUACCAAUACAUUUAAAGUACUGAUCGCAUAUUUUUCUUUGUACUAUAUUGUCUUAUAACAUAGGUUCGGACGCUCAGUUUCUCGAUCCCUCCUAGAUAGCUCAGCGUACCCAGCAGUAGUAGAGGUGAGUCCUCAUCCAUCGAGGACAUGAUUGUGUAUUCUAGUUAUUUUUGUAGUUCUUUAUAUUCAGUCGGAUGGAGUUGGUUGGGGGCUUGUCCCAUCAACUCCUCAAUCAGUUAGAGGCUUUUCAUACAAACAGUUAGACAAGCAGUC